rnacentral:rRNA from 1 species
UAAUACGAAGGGGACUAGCGUUGUUCGGAUUUACUGGGCGUAAAGCGCGCGUAGGCGGAUCGCUAAGUCAGGGGUGAAAUCCCAGGGCUCAACCCUGGAACUGCCUUUGAUACUGACGAUCUGGAGAUCGGGAGAGGUUGGUGGAAUUCCGAGUGUAGAGGUGAAAUUCGUAGAUAUUCGGAGGAACACCA